AAGUUCAUGUCUUGUUGAUCAUGUUCAACUCCUCUUCCAUUGCCACCUUCCACUUCUGAUCCAGUUUUGCAUCUUCAAAAUUUGAUGGUUCCAUUACAGCAAUAUUGCACCUUUCAUAUAUUUCUGCAAGAGAUCUUGUUCCUCUCACAGGUUCAUCAUUUGCUUCUUCAUCAAUCUCGAUCUGAUAUGUUCCUCCAUCCUGUUGUUCUUGCUCUUCAACUUCUGUAUCAUCCCCUUGCUCAUCAUCAUUUCCUGGUUCUGCAUUUGUUCCAGACCAUUCCCACUUCUCUGGUUCUAGAAACUUAACGUCCCUGCUUACGACAACUCGAUUUGAGUUGGGUAAAUAGAUUCGAUAAGCUUUAGAAACAAGACUGUAACCAACAAAUAUUCCUUUCUCUGCCUUUUCAUCGAGCUUGUCUCUCUUAGCUUCAGGAAAAAAGCUGAAACAAAUGCAACCAAAUAUUCUAAAGUUUGUACAGUUUGGCUUCUUCCCGGUCCAUACCUCGAAAGGAGUCUGUUUCUGCAGCGCUUUGGUUGAUAAUCGGUUGAGAAGAAACACGGCUGUACUCGAUGUUUCUGCCCAGAAACGUUUUGGCAGACUUUUCUCGUACAGAAGACAUCUUGCCAUCUCCAUGAUCAUGCGAUUCUUUCUUUCACUCACCCCAUUCUGUUGCGGGGAGUAGGGCACCGAAAACUGAUGUUUUAUGCCCGAUCCUUCACAUAUAAUUCUGAAUCUGCUGGAGGUGUACUCAGCUCCAUUAUCUGAUCUGAUGACUUUGAUCCUGUUUCCACACUCAUUCUCCACCUCGUUCUUGAAUCUUUCAAAUAUCCCAUCAACUUCUGCCUUAGCUUUCAUGAAGAAAAUCCAGCACAUACGAGUGUAAUAAUCAAUAAACGUUAUGAAAUACCUGCUAUCAGUAAGAGACUCAAUUGGCAUAGGGUCGCAAACAUCGGUAUGGAUCAACUGAAGUUUAUUAAUUGCUCUCCAGGUAGAUGAUUUGAACGGCAAUCUUCUGUGCUUGCCGAGACGACAAAUGCUGCAAUCUCAAACAUCUCUUUGAUGUUCAGUAUUGGCCUGGAAAUUUUGAGGAUUCUUGCUCCUACAGAACCUCUCAAUAUGACCAUACUUGUUGCAAGCCUGACACUUCACAUUUGGGUUUCUCCAACAUCUCCAAUGAGGGGAGAGGAGGGACUUCGUAAUCUUCUUCCACCGCUUCCCAGAGAUCUGCACCUUCAAGGAACGCUUGCAUACGAACUGCCCAAAUCUGGUCCCGAAAAGAUCCUUUAAGAUGCUCUGAUACCAUUGAUACGGUCUGUUUCUUAGACUUGUUCUAUUUUCUAUAUUGAUGGAGAGUAUCAGGAGGAGUUUUACAGGUUCUGAAUUCCUAAUAAAACAUAUUUUAUUUCAUAACACAUAACAACAUAUAUAGAGUUUUUAUAGAGGUGGUUACAACUGUAUUAUAAACUGAAAAAUACAAACUGAUAAUUUCUUCUUGAACUUCCUUCAACGUUAUCUACAUUCUUCAAACCUUCUUGAUGAUGCAGAGUCUUAUGGACACUUCCUUAAUUCGCUAACAGGCAUGCUCAAAAUUGACGUGAGGAAAGCCUUUGAUUCGAUGAGUUGCGAUUUCGUCUUUAUUGGUUGGAACAAAGUAUGCAUUACGUCUCUACUAGUAGGUUACUUCCCGAAUUGUCGAGGAUCUCCUCAUUUUUGUCAGUGGAGGCACUUACGGGGCACUACAAGCUGCACUCGAGACGUGGUAAUGUAACCCCAUUAUCACUCUCCUGCCAUUUGUGGAUGAUAUCAGCUUCGAGGGAAAUCUCCCACGUUGUAGACAUCUUCAACAAAUUCCCGGGCCUUGCGGUAAACCUGGAGAAAACAUAACUAUUUCUGAGUAAAAGGAUAGCGGAUCAAGAUGCACAUUUUGCUAUCUUAAUUUGGUGUUUCCGAUGAAUGUCUCUUUACCCAUCGGCUACACAAAUACCCGAAAUAAUAGCAAAUGAAAUGUUACAGGAAAUUUACCUUGGCAUAAACUCCUGAUAAGAUGUUUUUUUUUCCUCACUUGGAAAGAAGUUUAU